rnacentral:pre_miRNA from 1 species
UAAAUACUCCCUCCAUCCGAAAAUACUUGUCGUAGAAAUGGAUACAAAUGGAUGUAUCUAGAACUAAAAUACAUCUAGAUACAUCCAUUCCUCGGACAAGUAUUUCCGGACGGAGGGAGUAACAU